rnacentral:rRNA from 1 species
UACGAAGGGUGCAAGCGUUAAUCGGAAUUACUGGGCGUAAAGGGUGCGUAGGCGGUUGAUUAAGUCUGUCGUGAAAUCCCCGGGCUCAACCUGGGAAUGGCGAUGGAUACUGGGCAGCUAGAGUGUGUCAGAGGAUGGUGGAAUUCCCGGUGUAGCGGUGAAAUGCGUAGAGAUCGGGAGGAACAUCAGUGGCGAAGGCGGCCAUCUGGGACAACACUGACGCUGAAGCACGAAAGCGUGGGGAGCAAACAGG